rnacentral:tRNA from 1 species
GCCGCGAUAGCUCAUCGGGAAGAGCAGUCGUCUCGUAAACGGCAGGAGCAGGUUCGAGUCCUGCACGCGGCUCGA